rnacentral:rRNA from 1 species
AAUGAACGCUGGCGGCGUGCCUUACACAUGCAAGUCGAGCGAGGAGGCCCGCAAGGGUCAUUCGAGCGGCGAACGGGUGAGUAACGCGUGGAUAACCUGCCCAGAGGUGGGGGAUAACCCGGGGAAACUCGGGCUAAUACCGCAUGAUACCGAAGGGUCAAAGGGGGCUCGCAAGGGCUCUCGCCAUUGGAGGGGUCCGUGUCCGAUUAGCUAGUUGGCAGGGUAAUGGCCUACCAAGGCGACGAUCGGUAGCCGGCCUGAGAGGGUGAUCGGCCACACUGGAACUGAGACACGGUCCAGACUCCUACGGGAGGCAGCAGUGGGGAAUUUUGCGCAAUGGGCUAACGCCUGACGCAGCAACGCCGCGUGGAGGAUGAAGGUCUUUGGAUUGUAAACUCCUGUCAGCAGGGAAAAAGCGAAUCGGCCUAACACGCCGGUGAGUUGAUUGUACCUGCAGAGGAAGCCCCGGCUAACUCUGUGCCAGCAGCCGCGGUAA